UGGGUUUAAAGGGUGCGUAGGCGGAUAGAUAAGUCAGUGGUGAAAACCUGCAGCUUAACUGUAGACUUGCCGUUGAUACUGUCAGUCUUGAGUAUGGUCAAGGUAGGCGGAAUGUGUAAUGUAGCGGUGAAAUGCUUAGAUAUUACACAGAACACCGAUUGCGAAGGCAGCUUACUGGGCCAUUACUGACGCUGAUGCACGAAAGCGUGGGGAUCGAACAGGAUUAGAUACCCUGGUAGUCCACGCCGUAAACGAUGAUCACUCGCUGUUAGCGAUACACAGUUAGCGGCUAAGCAAAAGCAUUAAGUGAUCCACCUGGGGAGUACGGCCGCAAGGCUGAAACUCAAAGGAAUUGACGGGGGCCCGCACAAGCGGAGGAACAUGUGGUUUAAUUCGAUGAUACGCGAGGAACCUUACCUGGGCUUAAAUGUAGAGUGCAUUCAGCUGAAAGGCUGAUUUCCUUCGGGACUCUCUGCAAGGUGCUGCAUGGUUGUCGUCAGCUCGUGCCGUGAGGUGUCGGGUUAAGUCCCAUAACGAGCGCAACCCUUAUCGUUAGUUGCCAGCGGGUAGAGCCGGGAACUCUAACGAAACUGCCGGUGUAAACCGAGAGGAAGGUGGGGAUGACGUCAAAUCAGCACGGCCCUUAUGUCCAGGGCUACACACGUGUUACAAUGGCCGGUACAGAGGGCAGCUAUGCCGCGAGGCAAUGCGAAUCUCGAAAGCCGGUCUCAGUUCGGAUCGGAGUCUGCAACUCGACUCC
rnacentral:rRNA from 1 species